UACGUAGGUGGCAAGCGUUGUCCGGAAUUAUUGGGCGUAAAGCGCGCGCAGGCGGUCCUUUAAGUCUGAUGUGAAAGCCCACGGCUCAACCGUGGAGGGUCAUUGGAAACUGGGGGACUUGAGUGCAGAAGAGGAGAGUGGAAUUCCACGUGUAGCGGUGAAAUGCGUAGAGAUGUGGAGGAACACCAGUGGCGAAGGCGACGAUCUGGGAAGAUACUGACACUGAGGUGCGAAAGCGUGGGGAGCAAACAGG
rnacentral:rRNA from 1 species